ensembl:lncRNA
CUCAGCUCACCCACCUCACAUCAGGGGGAGGCGACCUCAGGACUCAAAUCACGUCCUCAAGUCUCUCCCUCUGAAAUUUCCAAAUGUUUGGUGUAGUUUGAUGUCAUUCUCUCUUUGUGCAGACAAGUCUUAUCCCAAUGUCUCCAGAUGGUUGGCCCCACAGAGGAAAAGGCAGCUUCUCUCUCCCACCAUCCACACGCUAUAGAUUUAUGGCUAAAACCAGUAAUGACCGCUCUUGCCCUGAGAGGAACAACCACACCUAAAUCGUUGAGGGUUGAGUAGUAGAUGUGAGCGAGCAGCGUACCAGACCUAGGAGGUUUAUCGAACCAAUAAGCAGAGGAAGUGACCAAAGUAUCACGGACCAGGUCAUCCUUUAGUAUUAGCCCUAGUUUAGGAGUGACGAGAGAGUCACGGUGGAGGCAGUUGUCGCCCGUCCCUCCCCUCGAAGUGACAAGUAAACAGACCGCCGUGGAGCAGCAGGCGUCCGACACCGCGCAGGGAACCCUGACGGACCCCACAGGAGCAGGAGGGGUGGGAACAGGAGAUACAGCCCGUGCCGCCCCCAGCGGUGGAAGGCGGCAUCCGCACCCAGGAGCAACAGGGACUUCAGCACAGCUGGAAACCCAGCCCCCAGUGGCGGCAACCCCACACCAGCUCCACCAGCAGCAGGGGCUGUAAGUCCGCCGUCUCCGCCGACAGUGACAGUGACACCUGUGAACCAGCUCCGCUGGCAGCAGCGCAGCCAGCACCCCAGGACAUCCCGGGAGCAGCAGUGCAGGUGGUGCUGGGCCAGCAGCUCCGAAGCCUGUGGAGAGCCAGUGGAGGAGCCCGAGAGCCAGCUGAGCAGACCCGAGUAACCAGAGACAGGAGCGACCCAAGGGCCUUCAAUGAUGAAGGGAUAAAGAUGCGGUAUAUGUAUACAAUGGAAUAGUACUCAGCCAUAAAAAAGACGAAAUUCUGCCAUUUGCAACCACGUGGACGGACCUUGAGGAUAUUAUGAUAAGCAAAAUAAGCCAGACAGAGACAAACACCAUAUGAUUUCACUCAUGUGUGGAAGAUGAACAAAGAGACACAUAGAUAAAGAGAACAGAUUAGUGGUCACCAGAGGAGAAGGGGGGUGGGGCGAGAGGGGUAAAGGGGCACACAUGUAUGGUGACCGAUAAAAGCUAGACUAUUGGUGGACAUAAUGCCGUCUACACAGACACUGAUGUGUAACAAUGUGCACCUGAAAUUUACACUAUGUUAUACGCCAAUAUGACCUCAAUUAUAAAUAAAUGAAAGACUGACUUUAGAACCAAAGACACAAAUAGGUCAAAAGUGAAAGGAUCGAAAAAGAUGUUCCAAGCAAAUAGUAACCCAAGGCAGCAGGGGCGCUUAGGCUCAUGUUAUGACAAAAUAGACUUGAUCUUUCUUCUGGACUGACCUGUGAUUGACACAUAACAUUGAGUAAGCUUAAGGUAUACGAUGUGAUGAUUUUAGACAUGCAAAGUGAUCACCACAAUGAAGUUAGUUAGCACUCCCUUCACCCCGCAGAAUUACCAUUUGUUGUUAUGGGGAGAACAUUUGAGAUCUACUCUCUCAUCCACUUUCAAGUAUUCAAUACAGUAUUGUCGGUUGUAAUCACCAUGCUGUACAGUAGAUCUCAGAAGUGAUUCCUCUUCUAACUGGCAGUUUGUAACCUUUGACCAACAUCUCCUCAUUUCCCGCACCCCCCAGCCCCUGGAAACCACAAAUCUACCCUUUGCAUGAUUUUGGCUUUUUUAGAUUCCACAUGUAAGUGAUAUCAUACAGUGUUUGUCUUUCUCUGUCUGACUUACCUCACUUAGUACAAUGCCCUGAAGGUCCAUCUAUGUUGUCACAAAGGCAGAAUGUCCUUCUUUUUGUGGGUGAAUAAUAUUCCAUGGUGUGUAUACAUCAAAUGUUCUCUAUCCGUUCAUCCGUUGAUGGACGUUUAGUUUGUUUCCGUGUCUUGGCUACUGUGAACAAUGCUGCAAUGAACAUGGGGGUGCAGACAUCUCUGUGAGAUAGUGAUUUCCAUUCCUUUGGAUAAAUACCCAGAAGUGACAUGGCUAGGUCACAUGGUAGUUCUGUUUUUAUUCUUUUGAGGAAACUCCAUACUGUUUUCCGAAGUGUCUGUACCAUUUACAUUCCCA